rfam:Schistosoma haematobium scaffold1335_4, whole genome shotgun sequence.
AUCCAGCUGACGAGUCCCAAAUAGGACGAAACGUGCUUUGUCCUGGGU